CUCUGCAAUCCAAACCAACGUCCUUUCUCAUCUGGGCAACUGCAAUACCUUCUUAAUUCCCUGCCUCCCGUUCCUACUCCGUCCAGCCAGUUCUUUUUUCACACAGCAGCCCUUGGGAGCCUUUAGAAAUAAAUAUGAUUCCCGUGCCUCAACCAAAGAUGUAUCAGAAUUUCUGCGAUGGGAGCCAGGCUUCUCAACUUUUAAUAAGGACUCAGUCCUUCACUCUUGAGAUCACCUCCAGGAAGCUAUCUGCAUGCAAGAUCUUCCCCCAGUCAAGCCUGGAGAUGACUGCUGCCCCAGACAGCACCUUGCCUGCAGUUUUAUGAGACAACCUGAACCAGACCCAUCCAUUUAAGCUGCACCAAGAUUUCUGAACUACAGAAAACUUGAGAUAUUAUUUUGUUGUUUUAAGUGGUAACUUGGAAGUAAUUUGUCAUUCAGCAAUAGAUAACUAACAUAAUGUCCCACUAUGAAAGUCAAGAACUAUUGGCAGCCUGAUGUGAAGAAGGAGAAUGGUGACCCUCUCCAGUCUUAGGGGAGGGGCUAAUAAAGCUAGUGUUCCUUCUGAAGACAAAACCCUUCUAACCCUGGGAUUGGUGAGGGAACACACACCCAUGUGUUCAUACACAAAAUAUACAUUGGAACAAAGGCCAAAAUAUAUCUGUAUUAUGUUCGUUAAUCAUGUAACCACUUCCUGGUCUCAAUGUUGUUAAGAAAACUAAUUGGAACAUUACUUGAAUAAUAGUAACAAUGUAAUUUUUAAUACAAAGGGAAACAAUACCACUUGUCUCAGGCAAGCAUCCUGAGCCCUGACUGACAAAUUCAGUUUCCUUCUUAGAAGACUUCAGG